rnacentral:rRNA from 1 species
GACGAACGCUGACGGUGUGCUGUAGGCAUGCAAGUCGAACGAGAAAGCCCUUCGGGGUGAGUACAGUCGCGAACGGGUGCGUAACACGUGGGCAACCUGCCCCUCGCAGGGGGACAACCGGAGGAAACUCCGGCUAAUACUCCGUAUGCUUCUCGGGCCUCAUGGUCUGUGAAGGAAAGGUAGCUUCUUCCAUCCGGCGAGGGAUGUGCUCGGGUUGCAUUAGCUAGUUGGUGGGGUAACGGCCCACCAAGGCGACGAUGCGUAGCUGGUCUGAGAGGAUGAUCAGCCACACUGUGACUGAGACAAGGCCCAGACUCCUACGGGAGGCAGCAGCCAGGAAUCUUGGGCAAUGGGCGCAAACCUGACCCAGCAACACCGUGUGGGCGACGAAGGUCUUAGGAUCGUAAAGCCCUGUUGAUAGGGACGAAGGGCGAAGGGUUAAUAGCCCCUAGCUUGACGGUACCUUUCGAGGAAGCCCCGGCUAACUACGUGCCAGCCGCCGCCGUAAAAC